rnacentral:rRNA from 1 species
GACGAACGCUGGCGGCGUGCUUAACACAUGCAAGUCGAACGCUGAAGCUCAGCUUUUGUUGGGUGGAUGAGUGGCGAACGGGUGAGUAACACGUGAGUAACCUGCCCCCUUCUUUGGGAUAACGCCCGGAAACGGGUGCUAAUACUGGAUAUUCACUGGUCUUCGCAUGGGGGUUGGUGGAAAGGGUUUUUCUGGUGGGGGAUGGGCUCGCGGCCUAUCAGCUUGUUGGUGGGGUGAUGGCCUACCAAGGCUUUGACGGGUAGCCGGCCUGAGAGGGUGACCGGUAACAUUGGGACUGAGAUACGGCCCAGACCCCUACGGGAGGCAGCAGUGGGGAAGAUUGCACAAUGGGCGCAAGCCUGAUGCAGCGACGCCGCGUGAGGGAUGGAGGCCUUCGGGUUGUGAACCUCUUUCGCUCAUGGUCAAGCCGCAACAAUGGUUGUGGUGAGGGUAGUGGGUAAAGAAGCGCCGGCUAACUACGUG